CCUACGGGUGGCAGCAGUAGGGAAUAUUGCUCAAUGGGGGAAACCCUGAAGCAGCAACGCCGCGUGGAGGAUGAAGGUUCUCGGAUUGUAAACCCCCUUUGUUAGAGAAGAUAAUGACGGUAUCUAACGAAUAAGCACCGGCUCACUCCGUGCCAGCAGCGGCGGUAAUAUGGAGGGUGCAAGCGUUACUCGGAAUCAUUAGGCGUAAAGAGCGCGUAGGCGGGAUAGCAAGUCAGAUGUGAAAUCCUAAGGCUUAACCAUAGAACUGCAGUUGAAACUGUUAUUCUAGCGUAUGGGAGAGGUAGGUGGAAUGCUUGGUGUAGGGGUAAAAUGCGUAGAGAUCAAGAGGAAUACUCAUUGCGAAGGCGGCCUGCUAGAACAUAACUGACGCUGAUGCACGAAAGCGUGGGGAGCAAACAGGAUUAGAUACCCUAGUAGUC
rnacentral:rRNA from 1 species